CUCCCUUCCUGUGCCAUCCACACCCACCUCACUCCACUAAUUUCAAGUGGAACCGUGAAGGCUUAAUGGAAGGCCUCGGAUGACAGGAAGUCAACGCGACCUGAGUGGUUGUCAGAUUCCAUUGGAGGCCCUUGGCAGUCUGAAACCCGCAGGAACUGGAUCCCGGACCAAAAUCCAUCCCUGGCUUUGUGUUUCUGUCAGUGAGGAGAUGUGUAAGGGCGGAUCAGUUUCCAGACAGCUGCCGUUUGAUUGGUUAACUGCCUCUAAUAAUUUGGAAAUAUGAUUUCAGGCAUGCCAGGAUUGGGAGAGGCAGGUUUUAUAUAGCGUUCAACCUCUUAGGAACAAAAGUGACGUGAUCCUUUUAUUAAACGAAGGAGCGAUGGAGAUCAAGCAACCAAUCAAUGUCUUUGAAUCUCUCCUGUGACUCAGCUGAAGAAAACGAGCAUCUUUUCAAUCGUUUUUUCAAGAAAUGCAUACAUUUUGACAAGAAAUAGAAUGACGUUUAUAAUAUAAACGUGUUAAGAUGUUGCUCUACAUAAGCUCUGGAAAAUCAUUUGUCAUCAUGUACUCAGCUUCAUGUCAUUUGAAACUAGUUUUUCCCCUUUGCAGAACAUGAUGAGAAUAGACUCUUUUCCAUGCAGUUACAAUGAAUUUGCACUUUUAAGGUUCCAAAAGGAUGCAAAAGCACCAUAAAAGGGAUAUGUAUGA